rnacentral:snoRNA from 1 species
AUGCACCACAGACAAAACCACACACGAGUACACACACACACAAUACAUAAAUGUAAAAUGCACUAGGAUGCAAAAGAAAAUAAUCUCUGCACUUUCCAUCUUUGUGGAUGUCCACACUGAAUUGGGGAAUACAUAA